rnacentral:lncRNA from 1 species
GAGCUGAUGAUGAAUCUUCGAGAAAGAACUUCAAGUUUAAGCUUCGCUUGCUUGCUUAUAGUAGUCUCCUUUCUUCUGGAUGGAAUAUUAAGGAUCAAAACUCCUGUCGAGCUAGUCUGACUUACCUGACUGACUUUACAACUCGCAUUCAUUAGUGGAAAGUAUGAUAGCUUCUUUUUCUAGCUUCUUAUCUUAAAGAGCGAGCUUUU